GCAGCGGGUUGGUCGGCUGAGUGGCGGAGCGGAAGCGCAGACGGGGACCGGGAAAGGCGCUGUCGGUGACAUCACGGAUAGGGCGAUUCCUAUGUAGAUGAGGCAGCGCAGGGGCUGCUGCUUCGGCCACAGAGGAUUUCUUGUGCUGUGGGAGCAAGUCCAGGACCGCCGGUUGAACCUACACUGUCUGGAAUGCCGAUGUCACUAUGAC
rnacentral:lncRNA from 1 species